UGGCUCAGAUUGAACGCUGGCGGAAUGCUUUACACAUGCAAGUCGAACGGCAGCACGGGGGCAACCCUGGUGGCGAGUGGCGAACGGGUGAGUAACACAUCGGAACGUGCCCAAUCGUGGGGGAUAACGUAGCGAAAGCUACGCUAAUACCGCAUACGAUCUACGGAUGAAAGCGGGGGAUCGCAAGACCUCGCGCGAAUGGAGCGGCCGAUGGCAGAUUAGGUAGUUGGUGGGGUAAAGGCUCACCAAGCCAACGAUCUGUAGCUGGUCUGAGAGGACGACCAGCCACACUGGGACUGAGACACGGCCCAGACUCCUACGGGAGGCAGCAGUGGGGAAUUUUGGACAAUGGGCGCAAGCCUGAUCCAGCCAUUCCGCGUGCAGGAUGAAGGCCUUCGGGUUGUAAACUGCUUUUGGACGGAACGAAAAGCCAUUUUCUAAUACAAGAUGGUCAUGACGGUACCGUCAGAAUAAGCACCGGCUAACUACGUGCCAGCAGCCGCGGUAAUACGUAGGGUGCAAGCGUUAAUCGGAAUUACUGGGCGUAAAGCGUGCGCAGGCGGUUAUGUAAGACAGUUGUGAAAUCCUCGGGCUCAACCUGGGAACUGCAUCUGUGACUGCAUAGCUAGAGUACGGUAGAGGGGGAUGGAAUUCCGCGUGUAGCAGUGAAAUGCGUAGAUAUGCGGAGGAACACCGAUGGCGAANGCAAUCCCCUGGACCUGUACUGACGCUCAUGCACGAAAGCGUGGGGA
rnacentral:rRNA from 1 species